AUGCCGCCGUGGAAGCGGUGCAUGCAAGCCCCGCCCCCCAGGCGGGCCGAGCAGCCGAGCCCCGCCCCGCCCAGGUUGCCGUGGAAACGGUGCAGGCAGGAACCGCCCCCGCCCAGGCGAGGCCACGCCCCUCCGGCCACGCCCCGGAGGAAAGGGGAGGAGGGGGAGCGCGGGCUCCACCCCCCGCGCGUGGGCGUGGCCAAAAAGGGCGCGGCUGCCCGCUGGAAGGAGGCGGAGCCUGGGCUGCGGGCGGCCAAUAGGGGGAAGGGGCCGCCGCCCCGCCCGGCCACGCCCCUCCCGGCGGUGGCCAAUGAGAGCAGAGAGCCGGGAGGGCGGGGCGAAGGGCGCAAGCCACGCCCCCCGCCCGGCGUGAGCGACAGCAGCGAGCCGGGUGGGCGUGGCAAAGCCGAGGCCCCUCCCACGGCCGCCGGUUUGAGUGACAGCAAGGGCGUGGCCGCAGCGGGUGUGGCCGCAGCGGUGGUGGGCGUGGCCGCCGCUGAAGUGGGCGUGGCCGCGGGGGAAGCAGGCACCGAGGGCGUGGCCGGGGCGGGCGUGGCCGCGGUGGGCGUGGCCGGGGUGGGGGCGGAAGGGGCGGGGCCUGCUGAGGGGGCGGGGGAUGUCGUGGUGGGGGGAGGGGCGGGCUGGGGCGGGGCUUCGGGCGGGGCCUCGGAGGAGGAGGAGGAGGAGGAGGAAGAGGAGGAGGAGGAGGAAGAAGAGGAAGAGGAGGAGGAGGAAGAGGAGGAGGAGGAGGAGGAGGAGGAGGAGGAGGAGCUGGAGGAGGAGGAGGAAGAGGAGGAGGACGAGGAGGAGGAGGAGGAGGACGAGGAGGAGGAAGAGCGGCGCCGCUUGCGCCGUGACGAGGGCACCACGACGGUGGGCGUGGCCGCGGCGGGCGUGGCGGCGGAGGGGGCGGAGCCUUCGGGCGGCGGCUCGGUGGCACAGGUGACAAUGGCGGCCGAGGCGGCCGCGGCGGCGAUGGCGGCGGCGGGGACGGAGCUCGGGGACCUGCGGGGACACGGCGGGGUCAGCACGGGGACAACGGGGACAACGGGGCGGGGACAGCGUGGGGACACGGGGCAGGGGUGGGGGGCACCUUGGGGACACGGGGCAGGGGUGGGUGGCACCCUU
rnacentral:lncRNA from 1 species